AACGCAAAUUGCGCCUUUUGGUAUUCCGAAAGGCAUGCCUGUUUGAGUGUCAUAUAGACUUCACUAUGUGGUUUUACACACAGUGCUUUGGAGUUUGCAAUACGCUUGUGAUUGCUUCUCUUAAAUGUCUAAGUGGAUAGCGUGAUAAGUCUUCGCAACCCCACUCUAAUAACCUUUUAUCUCUGACCUCAAAUCAGGUAGGACUACCCGCUGAACUUAA
rnacentral:misc_RNA from 1 species